rnacentral:rRNA from 1 species
UACGUAGGGUGCGAGCGUUGUCCGGAAUUAUUGGGCGUAAAGGGCUCGUAGGCGGUUUGUCGCGUCGGGAGUGAAAACACUGGGCUUAACUCAGUGCUUGCUUCCGAUACGGGCAGACUAGAGGUAUGCAGGGGAGAACGGAAUUCCUGGUGUAGCGGUGAAAUGCGCAGAUAUCAGGAGGAACACCGGUGGCGAAGGCGGGUCUCUGGGCCGAUACUGACGCUGAGGAGCGAAAGCGUGGGGAGCAAACAGG